CUACGGGAGGCAAGCAGGGGGGAAUUUUGGACAAUGGGCGAAAGCCUGAUCCAGCCAUGCCGCGUGAGUGAAGAAGGCCUUCGGGUUGUAAAGCUUCUUUUAGUCGAAAGAAAGAG
rnacentral:rRNA from 1 species